CUCUCGGGUCUGGACGGAGGCGGGAAGCGGCUGUGCAGAGCGCAGGUGGCGGAUGCGCCCCGGGAGGCAGAGUUCUUCCUCUUGAAGACUCAAGAGUUUCAGUCUGAAAACUGGCCCAGACCCAGACAUUGGACAAGGGAUCAUGGCUGGAUAUUGGAGCGACUGCCCUCAGCCUCCUAAUCACCCAUCCUUGGAUUAUUUUGAUUGUACAGAUUGAGUAGCCCACUUGUUGGCUGCCCAUCUGUUUCACCCCGGGGAUCCCUUGUUCUGUGAACUGUCUCCAAAACUCACCAGAGCAACGCAGGUGGAGACCCACAAGCUUUCAGAGAUCGUCACAAAGGUUCAGAAAUCAAAUGGCUCCAAGGCAUUUUAAGUCACAUGGAGGCCAGAAGAGAAUGAAACAAGUGCCUUCAAAACUCAGAAGCAAAACCAAUGUCUAACCUAGAAUCUAUACCCAAGCAAACCAUCACUUAAAUGUCAUAGAACAGACAUUUUAAGAUAUGCAAAGUUUACCUCCCAUGUACCUGCAGGAAGUAUACCACUGAAAUAACAGGGGGAAACGUGUGACACAGGAAAUGAAAGGCAAAGGGAAGCCUGAGGAAGGCGAAGAGAAAACCCAGCACAGCCGUGCACCCGACAGAGCACAACCAGUGGGGGCUGGAACACCCACACUCCCGAGACAGAUGGAGGGCUGGGUGGCCCCCACGCCUCUUGUCCCCUCUUCCGAACCUGGGACAGUAUGCCAUGGUCAGCCUGACAGAUUAUUUUACUCAGGCUGACGGUGCUUAAAUUCCUGCUUUUCCUCCUACUAUGCUGUCUGGAACACACAGUUCACCCUCACAGAAGUGUUCUGCCAUCUUGGAAACUGGAGGUGGGCCAAGGUAAGUUUAGAAGCAAAACAAACCCACAGAGCACCCUGUCCCUUGCCAACAUUCCUGAAAGGUACCUGGUCCUUGGUUCACACAGCACUCUGCCGAGGCCUAGCUGCUGGCCAGCUGUUUCUCACAGCCUCAUUCACUGACCACCCACAAGCGGCUCCUGUAAGAUUUCAGGGAAGCUAGAAAACGACCCUGAGAUUCUGUUCAGUUUAUCUUCUCCUGGCAGCCUUCUUACAGUAGCAGUACUGCUCUUUACAGGUCUGUGCUUGCUCAUCAAUUUUUAUAUUACUCACUCUUCAUUUCUAUCAAUAUAGCUGUUGGUAAAAUAAUAAAAUCUUUGAAGAAUUCUAAAUACAUGUAUUUAUUUAAUGGUUUUUAAAAGUCAAGAGUAAGAUACAUCGAAGUGUUAAGUGAGGAUGAGCUUUACAUGUUUUAUAUUUUUAUACUUCUGUAGCCUGUAGUCCUUUUGGAAUUUAUAUUAUUACUUUUGUAACAAAAAAAACUGAGUUCCCUAUUUCAAAUAAAUACGAAAAAAACUGACAUUUUGGCCUGGCCAACUUGGUUGCAUGUAACAGCCCUGGCACCCCAUCUUGAUGGUUAUCCACAUGUGGGUAUGGAGCGAGUAUUGUGCUGAAAGGGUGCCCAGGGCUUGGAAAGGUAUUCACAAAUUUAUUUAGAGUAAGUGUAUGUCUGGACUUCUCCAUCCUGUCUAUGAGAAACAGACAGGGACUCCAAUAGCAUGUUUCCUCCAUUGUGCUGGCUGUUCUUUGAAGGUGCAAAAGGAUGGGAGCCUGGGCCGAGGUUGUGACCUGUUGCCUCUUCCUUCCACCCCGACCCCAAAGAGGACAGGCUUUUUAAGUUUGUAAGGAUCUAUAAAAUCAGAAGAGCCCCUUCCAUUAUCUUCUUACCAAAAAACUUUAAUAGGAGCAAGUUAAUAUUUUUAAAUGUUUUAACAUCUCAUUUUGAAAACUUAACUGUUGUUUUUUUUUUUCAGAUUUUUAUUUUAUUUUUUCCUUUUUCUCC